CUGAGUUGCUGGAUCCUCUGUCUUAUCCUGAGUGAGGGGGAGCCCCUACUUCAUCAGCAAGGAUAUAAAAGAGGCUAAGAGGACUGCAUGAGUGUUGCUGCAAGUUCGGCUUGUCAUUAAGCGAUUAUCCAGUACUUCACAAUGUUUCACAUUAAUUGUCCAUCAGCCAAGUCCCACGACCGAGCACUUGGGGAUAAGAUUUUGAAAACACAGUGGAGCUUACUUUUGGGAUGAUUUUUAACACUUUUCCCUGAUGAAGAAUCCAA